rnacentral:lncRNA from 1 species
UUUGUCUUCGAUUACUCACCCAAUGUUGAGUUGAAUUCUUGAAGAAAACUUAGUUUUUCGGUGAAGGAUGAAUCAAAAAGCAGAGAAAAAUCGUUAAAUCAUAAUUGAGUUUAUCAAGUAGUCCAGUACAGCCCAAACAUGUAUUUUUGCUAAAACCUUUCAAUUUGUGUACUUGUUCAGCAAAGUAGUGAGUAGUAAAUGAAAUUUGGAUUUUACUGCACGAGUUGUGUGAGGGUUUGUAAAUGGAUGUUUUCAUGUAGUUUUGCCCACAUUUACUUCAACUCUACAAGACUUUUCUCUGUAUUUCAUAUACAAAUGUUCACGUGGGAUAAUUAUUGCUGCAAAAAGUGGAACUUCUUCUUUAAGUAGAUACUUAUAUGUGGUUUGUUUCUAUGAGCAGAACCAUCUUAUACAUCUUCACGAGAUCUUCUAGCAGUGAUCAUCAUUGCGAUCAUCGUGCUCAUCUCCCUGCUUGUCUGUGUUUGCACUCUCGUGUGUUGGAGAUGGUUUAAGUCGACACGUUCAACUCAACAACCGACUCAGAGUCAAACAGCUGAAGAGCUGGCUGUUAAAGAGCCAGCACCAAAAACAGAAGAAGACAUCCAUUACGGAGAGAUCGACUUCUCCAAGCGGAGACCUGAACAGCCCUCAGAGCAAGACGGUGCACUGCAGCAGGAAACUCUGUACGCACAGGUCAAAGUGCCCGAGACAGCAAACCGCUCAACACCGACUGAUGACGAGGCGCUCUACGCCCAAGUGAAGAGGAAAUGAGGGUUGUUUGUGUCAAGACGCAGACAAAAUUUGAAUAGAAUUCUUAUAUGUACCUUUAUGUUUAUUACAUAUAUAUCUAAAUUAUAUUACUGUACCGUAUGUUUUUAUGUUUGUAGAAAAAGACACCUGGACAUGAAAAAGUCAUUUUCACUGCUUACAGUUCAAUAAAGGGAAACUCCAAACCUCCACCCCCUGCAGCUUUCUUAUGUCUAUUCUCUUCAUUUCAUAGCUUUCCUCUUGGUUGCGCUGCUUCCAGCCUCAGAUCGAGAUUUGGAGGUCUGGCCUUUAUGUUAGAGUUUUU